AGCGAACGCUGGCGGCAGGCCUAACACAUGCAAGUCGAACGAACCCUUCGGGGUUAGUGGCGGACGGGGGAGUAACACGUGGGAACGUGCCUUUAGGUUCGGAAUAACUCAGGGAAACUUGUGCUAAUACCGAGUGUGUCCUUCGGGGGAAAGAUUUAUCGCCUUUAGGGCGGCCCGCGUCUGGUUAGCUAGUUGGUUGAGGUUAUGGCUCACCAAGGCGACGAUCCGUAGCUGGUCUGAGAGGAAGAUUCGGCACCUUGGGGCUGGGACACGGCCCCAACUCCUGCGGGAGGCAGCCAUGGGGAAUCUUGCGCAAUGGGCCGAAGCCUGACGCAGCCAUGGCGCGUGAAUGAUGAAGGUCUUAAGAUUGUAAAAUUCUUUCACCCGGGACGAUAAUGACGGUACCCGGAGAAGAAGCCCCGGCUAACUUCGUG
rnacentral:rRNA from 1 species